rnacentral:rRNA from 1 species
AUCGACAAGAUGGAGGAAGGUGGGGAGUGACGUCAAGUCAUCAUGGCCCUUAUGUCCAGGGCGACACACGUGCUACAAUGGCCGGCACAACGGGAAGCGAGUUCGCGAGGACGAGCGGAUCCCUCAAAGACCGGUCGCAGUUCGGAUUGAAGUCUGCAACUCGACUUCAUGAAGCUGGAAUCGCUAGUAAUCGUGGAUCAGCCAAGCCGCGGUGAAUACGUUCCCGGGCCUU